CCUACGGGAGGCAGCAGUGGGGAAUAUUGGACAAUGGGCGAAAGCCUGAUCCAGCAAUGCCGCGUGAGUGAUGAAGGCCUUAGGGUCGUAAAGCUCUUUUACCCGGGAUGAUAAUGACAGUACCGGGAGAAUAAGCCCCGGCUAACUCCGUGCCAGCAGCCGCGGUAAUACGGAGGGGGCUAGCGUUGUUCGGAAUUACUGGGCGUAAAGCGUGCGUAGGCGGUUAUUCAAGUCAGAGGUGAAAGCCCGGGGCUCAACCCCGGAACGGCCUUUGAAACUAGGUAGCUAGAAUCUUGGAGAGGUCAGUGGAAUUCCGAGUGUAGAGGUGAAAUUCGUAGAUAUUCGGAAGAACACCAGUGGCGAAGGCGACUGACUGGACAAGUAUUGACGCUGAGGCACGAAAGCGUGGGGAGCAAACAGGAUUAGAUACCCUGGUAGUCCACGCCGUAAACGAUGAUAACUAGCUGUUCGGGUACUUGGUAUCUGAGUGGCGCAGCUAACGCAUUAAGUUAUCCGCCUGGGGAGUACGGUCGCAAGNUUAAAACUCAAAGAGAGUGCGNGUGAGNGUUGACGAGACGACGAGAGGAGNG
rnacentral:rRNA from 1 species